AAAGGCUCUUUUCAGAGCCACCCACCUUCUCAAUAGAAGAGCCU
rfam:Eurypyga helias contig101170, whole genome shotgun sequence.